rnacentral:rRNA from 1 species
CCUACGGGGGGCUGCAGUGGGGAAUAUUGGACAAUGGGGGAAACCCUGAUCCAGCGACGCCGCGUGUGUGAAGAAGGCCUGCGGGUUGUAAAGCACUUUCGGUGGGAACGAAAUAUGCCGGGCUAAUAUCCCGGCAGGCUGACGUUACCCAAUGAAGAAGCACCGGCUAACUCUGUGCCAGCAGCCGCGGUAAUACAGAGGGUGCGAGCGGUGAUCGGAAUUACUGGGCGUAAAGCGGUCGUUGGGAUGUGAAAUCCCCGGGCUCAACCUGGGAACUGCAUUCGAAACUGCGAUGCUUGAGUAUGGGAGAGGACAGCGGAAUUCCGGGUGUAGCGGUGAAAUGCGUAGAUAUCCGGAGGAACAUCAGUGGCGAAGGCGGCUGUCUGGCCCAAUACUGACGCUCAGGUGCGAAAGCGUGGGGAGCAAACAGGAUUAGAUACCCCGGUAGUC